CAACCUCAUCGACCCGGAGACUGGGGAGCUGCUGAGGAAGAUCCUUCUUUCCCUCCGGGCGUUCGCGCUCAGGCUCAUCCACGGCAACGACUCUGCUGCAAACUCCGGACAAGGUGCUAAGGUUCAGUGAAAACCAGACUAGCUUCAUCAAUUUGAGACAUCUGAACAUAAACCUUGAGCUCAGGUGGGAUCCAUAUGAUGAUAGUUGGGUAAUGGGGUUUCUUAAUCUUUUCAAAUUAGCACCUCUCUUAGAAGAAUUGGAAAUGCAUGUAAGUAAUUUAACUGUUGAUUAUGAACCUUUUUAACACAUUAAUUAGGAUGUUGUGUGUUGCGUCUGUUUGACCCCCUCCCCCUUGAAGAAUAUGUAUAGUGAAAUUAACGGAUAUAUGUGUGAGUUGGGUCGUGAUAAAUUUUGCCCUGCUACUAUGAGGAUGGUGACGGCUGUGCAAGGGCCCCUGCAUCAUCACCUCAAGAGUGUCCACAUGUCUGGGUUUUGUGAUGUAUCGGGGCUGGCCGAGCUGACGCUAUACAUCCUUGGGAAUGCUACUGUAAUCAAGUAUGGAGGUAGAUCUAGUGGCGUAAGCCCACACUCUUCACAACGAUGAUAUAUAUUCAGUCAGCAAGGCUGGUUGUAUCGAGGGGGAUCAUUACCACGUCGAUCAGAAUAGGAUGUUUGCAGAGCAAAUCCUUGGCAGUGAGGAGUUCCGUCAUAUCGUCACCAUCUUGUGAAGUACAAUGCUGGGGCUGGAGCCUGGAGAUGCUAUUUAUAUAUGCCGACGGUUGAUGGAUAUGGGCGUGGUGGAAAAAGGAUCGAUCGGGAGCUUUAUGAAGAUUUAUAAUAAUACUCAGAAGGGAAGCAUCCAUGUACAAGCCGAAUGAUUAAUGCAGUAGUGUGUGCACCAAAAUUCAGUGUUGUCUGCAUUUUGGUUGUAAUCUGGGUUAACUAUGAUUUCAUCUUUUUUGGCUUUGCUAUUAUGAACAUAAGCAGUUGGUAGCAAUUUCAAGUGAUAUAUAUGUGGUACACUGUCAUUAAUGAAAUCAUGGAAUCAUUCAUCUCA